UACAGAGGUCUCAAGCGUUGUUCGGAUUCAUUGGGCGUAAAGGGCGCGUAGGUGGCGCGGUAAGCGUGCGGUGAAAGCCUGGGCUCAACCCCGGGUCGGCCGUGCGAACUGCUGGGCUUGAGCACUGUAGAGGCAGGCGGAAUUCCGGGUGUAGCGGUGGAAUGCGUAGAGAUCCGGAAGAACACCGGUGGCGAAGGCGGCCUGCUGGGCAGUUGCUGACACUGAGGCGCGACAGCGUGGGGAGCAAACAGG
rnacentral:rRNA from 1 species